rnacentral:rRNA from 1 species
AUACGGAGGGUGCAAGCGUUACUCGGAAUCACUGGGCGUAAAGCGCGCGCAGGCGGGCUGAUAAGUUGGAUGUGAAAGCCUACGGCUCAACCGUAGAACUGCAUCCAAAACUGUCAGUCUAGAGUGUGGGAGAGGAAGAUGGAAUUAGUUGUGUAGGGGUAAAAUCCGUAGAGAUAACUAGGAAUACCAAAAGCGAAGGCAAUCUUCUGGAACAGUACUGACGCUGAGGCGCGAAGGCGUGGGGAGCAAACAGGAUUAGAAACCCGAGUAGUCC